GAAAAAUUCACUUGAAGCUUCGAUCUGAUCGGUCUUCUCGAGCAUGCUAGCUCACGCGAAGAUCUUUUUCUUGGCUAAUCUGGAUCUUUUCUUCAAAUCUCUAGAAUCUUUCUAGAGAUUGAAGAUGAACUUCUAGAGAAUAUGAGGAUGUGAAAGAAGAAAGGAGAAGAAGCAAUUUUUUCUCAUAUUUUUCUCUCUUCCCAAACCCUGAGGACCAAAACCUAGAAUUCAGCUUUUGCGCUAACCCAAAGAGAGAGGACUCUCUUCCUCUUUUUCACACCAUGAACCAAUGCCCCAAGCCUC
rnacentral:lncRNA from 1 species